CAGUAGCCGCGGUAAUACAGAGGAUGCAAGCGUUAUCCGGAAUGAUUGGGCGUAAAGCGUCUGUAGGUGGCUUUUCAAGUCCGCCGUCAAAUCCCAGGGCUCAACCCUGGACAGGCGGUGGAAACUACCAAGCUGGAGUACGAUAGGGGCAGAGGGAAUUUCCGGUGGAGCGGUGAAAUGCGUUGAGAUCGGAAAGAACACCAACGACGAAAGCACUCUGCUGGGUCGACACUGACACUGAGAGACGAAAGCUUGGGGAGAAAAUGGGAUUAGAUACCCCCGUAGUCCCUGUCUCUUAUAC
rnacentral:rRNA from 1 species